CAGAGGGCGGUCCGACACCACGAGCCUGCUAGCUGCUAGCUGCUAGCUGCUCUCAGACUAGCGUCGCGCUAACAAACACUUCCCAGCCAGCACAAUGAAGAACAACAUGAAGCAUUUCAAACUCAAACCGCUGCUGCACAUUGACAACAUCGCCGGGAGCUAAGGGUAUCUCUUCUGCCCAGUGCCCCACAGUGGUCAAGUACAUGGACUUUACCAUAAAGCUAACGCGGCUGCUUGAGAGUUCCUGAGCGGGGCACGGAUGGGAUUAACUCGGCUAGCCGCGGCUAAUGUCGGUGCUAGCUCCGCGGCUAACCGGUUGGCGUUAGCUAUCUAACUCAGUUGGCUGACGUUGCUCUGCUAAUUACCAGGCUAGAUUUGCUGGCACAACCAUGCCUCCCAGACCCUCCUCAGGAGAGCUAUGGGGGAUGCACUUGAUGCCCCCCAGCAUCCUAGUGGACUGCCUGCUGCCAAAUGGCAUGAUUCUCACGUUGGAGUGCCUCCGAGAGGCCACGCUCAUCACGGUCAAGCACGAUCUUUUCAAAGAAGCCAGGAAGUACCCUCUUUACCAUCUGCUGCAGGAGGAGAGCUCAUACAUCUUUGUCAGCGUCACCCAGGAGGCAGAGCGGGAAGAGUUCUACGACGAGACUAGGAGGCUGUGCGAUCUCAGACUGUUUCAGGCCUUCCUGAAAGUUAUUGAGCCAGUGGGCAACAGAGAGGAGAAAAUCCUCAACAGAGAGAUAGGUUUUGCUAUCGGAAUGCCCAUUUGUGAGUUUGAUUUGGUGAAGGACUCAGAAGUGCAGGACUUCAGAAGGAACAUUUUAAAUGUUUGCAAAGAAGCUGUGGACCUCAGAGACAGUAACGGACCCCACAGCAGAGCUUUAUAUGUCUAUCCUCCUAAUGUAGAAUCCUCAGCAGAACUUCCCAGGCACAUCUAUAAUAAGCUAGAUAAAGGUCAAAUCAUUGUGGUCAUUUGGGUCAUUGUUUCAAACAGUAAUGACAAGCAAAAGUAUACCCUGAAGAUCAACCAUGAUUGUGUGCCGGAGCAGGUGAUCGCCGAAGCCAUCCGUAAAAAAACACGAAGCAUGUUGCUCACCCCGGAGCAGUUGAAGAUGUGCGUCCAGGAGUAUCAGGGAAAGUACAUCCUCAAGGUCUGCGGCUGUGACGAGUACCUCCUGGAGAAAUAUCCCAUUAGUCAGUACAAGUACGUCCGCAGCUGCAUCAUGCUGGGAAGAAUGCCCAACUUGAUGUUGAUGUCUAAAGACAGCCUUUAUUGCCAGCUGCCCAUGGACAACUUCACCAUGCCGUCGUACGCGAGGCGGAUAUCCACGGCGACGCCCUACAUGAACGGCGAAACAGCCACCAAGUGUCUGUGGACCAUCAAUGGAACUCUGAGGAUCAAGAUACUCUGCGCUACUUACGUCAAUGUAAACAUCAGAGACAUUGACAAGAUCUAUGUCAGGACUGGGAUUUACCAUGGUGGAGAGCAGCUGUGUGACAACGUCAACACCCAACGUGUGCCCUGUUCAAAUCCCAGGUGGAACGAGUGGCUUAACUACGACAUGUACAUUCCAGAAAUUCCCAGAGCCGCCCGACUCUGCCUGUCCAUCUGCUCUGUGAAAGGAAGGAAAGGAGCUAAAGAGGAGCACUGUCCCCUGGCCUGGGGCAACGUCAACCUGUUCGACUACACUCACACAUUAGUAGCAGGAAAGAUGGCUCUCAACCUGUGGCCGGUUCCACAUGGCCUGGAGGACCUGCUCAACCCCAUCGGCGUCACAGGCUCCAACCCAAACAAGGAAACUCCCUGCCUGGAGCUGGAGUUUGACCAUUUCAGUUGUCCUGUCAAGUUCCCGGACAUGAGCAUCAUUGAGGAGCACGCGAACUGGAACAUAUCCAGAGAGCUCGGCUUUAAUUACGGUCACACCGGUUUGAGCAACAGACUGGCGCGAGACAACCCCCUGACUGAGAGCGACAACGAGCAGCUUCGACAAGUGUGUAACAAAGACCCGCUGUCUGAAAUCACUGAGCAGGAGAAGGACUUCCUGUGGAGUCACAGAUACCACUGUGUCAACAUGCCAGAGAUCCUCCCUAAGAUCCUCCUGGCUGUGAAGUGGAACUCCAGAGAUGAGGUUGCACAGAUGUACUGCCUUCUCAAAGACUGGCCUGCAAUAAAACCAGAACAAGCCAUGGAGUUGCUGGACUGCAACUUUCCCGAUCCCAUGAUGAGAGAGUUUGCUGUGAAGUGCCUUGAGAAAUACCUGACUGAUGACAAACUCUCCCAGUAUCUCAUUCAGCUGGUUCAGGUUCUGAAGUACGAGCAGUACCUUGAUAACCCGCUUGCACGCUUCCUGCUGAAAAAGGCAUUAACCAAUCAGAGGAUAGGACAUUUCUUCUUCUGGCAUUUAAAAUCAGAGAUGCACAAUAAGACGGUGAGCCAGCGGUUCGGCCUGCUGCUGGAGUCGUACUGCCGGGCCUGCGGUAUGUACCUGAAGCACCUGAGCAGACAGGUGGAGGCCAUGGAGAAGCUCAUCAACCUCACCGACAUCCUCAAGCAGGAGAAAAAAGACGAGGCGCAGAAGGUUCAAAUGAAGUUUCUGGUGGAGCAGAUGAAGAGACCAGCCUAUACGGAUGCACUGCAAAGCUUUACGUCCCCGCUGAAUCCUGCACAUCAGCUGGGAAACCUCCGCCUGGAGGAAUGCAGGAUGAUGUCAUCGGCAAAACGGCCUCUCUGGCUGAACUGGGAAAACCCUGACAUGAUGUCAGAGCUGCUCUUCCAGAACAAUGAAAUCAUCUUCAAAAACGGAGACGAUCUGAGACAGGACAUGCUGACUCUGCAGAUCAUUAGGAUAAUGGAGAACAUCUGGCAGAACCAAGGCCUUGAUCUCAGGAUGCUGCCGUACGGCUGCCUGUCCAUCGGUGACUGUGUGGGUUUAAUCGAGGUGGUGAGGAAUUCUCACACAAUCAUGCAGAUCCAAUGCAAAGGUGGCCUGAAGGGGGCGCUGCAGUUCAACAGCCACGCGCUGCAUCAGUGGCUGAAGGAUAAGAACAAGGGAGAGAUGUAUGACCAGGCCAUCGAUCUGUUCACACGGUCGUGUGCCGGCUACUGCGUGGCCACGUUCAUCCUGGGCAUUGGGGACCGGCACAACAGCAACAUCAUGGUCAAAGAUGACGGACAGCUGUUCCACAUAGACUUCGGUCAUUUCCUCGACCACAAGAAGAAGAAGUUUGGCUACAAGAGGGAGCGUGUACCGUUUGUGCUUACGCAGGACUUUCUGAUCGUUAUUAGCAAAGGAACACAAGAGUGCACGAAAACAAGGGAGUUUGAAAGGUUCCAGGAAAUGUGUUACAAGGCAUACUUGGCCAUCCGCCAACACGCCAACCUUUUCAUCAACCUCUUCUCCAUGAUGCUGGGCUCAGGCAUGCCGGAGCUGCAGUCGUUUGACGACAUCGCCUACAUCAGAAAGACCCUGGCCCUGGACAAGUCAGAGCAGGAAGCCCUCGACUACUUCAUGAAGCAGAUGAAUGACGCCCAUCAUGGCGGCUGGACUACCAAGAUGGACUGGAUCUUCCACACAAUUCGCCAGCACGCCAUGAACUAAGGAAGGAGAGAACAAUACGAACCAUGGCAGCAGCAACAAGAGGAGCGAGGGAAAAAAAGUUUCCUGUGCAAAAAGCUCAUGUGCAAAGAGGUGCAUUAUUGUCCAAGCUUUACAAAAUGACCCAUACUGUUCUCUGGACCUCUGAGUGUCUCUGCACAUGUUUAAGGACUUACAGCUGCUCAGGAAACCAGUCCCACCAAGGAUGGAUCCAAACUGACGAAACUAAUCUCAUCGUAUUUUAUCAGAGAACUGUUUGUACUUAGUAUGUUUGUUUCUCACGCUGCAUCAUGCAUGAAACCCUCAGAUACCUGCUCUCUCUUUUUAACCUGACGUUGUUUACUUGAAUUUCUUGUACAGAAAUGAUCUUGUUACUUGUUGGAGGUACAGUCACAAUGAAGGUAACAGAGACUGCUAUUACAUGUGUGAAUGCUUUUCUUGAAUAACUACAGAGGUAAUAUAUAUUUUUGUAUUUUUUUUAUGUAAGCGAACUCAUGUGUGUAAUUGCUAACCAAAAGAAGAAGAAAAAGAGGUGUGCAUCACAUAAACCAGCCUCAUAUAAAGUCCAGCAGCCAUCCUUAAGUUGUGGAAAGGAGGGGUUGAAUGAAGGACAAGUCAUCGAGCAUCAUUGCUAAAUAAAAUGGAACCGUCUUACCCUUAAAUGGAAGUCUGUAAGCACAUUAAGUUGUUUGAAGAAAAUUACCCUGCAUGUUUUAAAGCAACCAAACUUGUGUUAAUUAUAUAUUCACCUGUAUCAUAAAGCUUUUUCAGAUAACUUGUUUUAAUAAUCCUCAUAUGUCGCUGUUGGGUAAGAAACUAUGCAUUCAAUUAUUGUGCUGUUAAAUAAAACCUUUUUUUCCCAAUGAAA